GACGGGAGCUUGCUCCCUUAGGUCAGCGGCGGACGGGUGAGUAACACGUGGGUAACCUGCCUGUAAGACUGGGAUAACUCCGGGAAACCGGGGCUAAUACCGGAUGCUUGAUUGAACCGCAUGGUUCAAUCAUAAAAGGUGGCUUUUAGCUACCACUUACAGAUGGACCCGCGGCGCAUUAGCUAGUUGGUGAGGUAACGGCUCACCAAGGCGACGAUGCGUAGCCGACCUGAGAGGGUGAUCGGCCACACUGGGACUGAGACACGGCCCAGACUCCUACGGGAGGCAGCAGUAGGGAAUCUUCCGCAAUGGACGAAAGUCUGACGGAGCAACGCCGCGUGAGUGAUGAAGGUUUUCGGAUCGUAAAACUCUGUUGUUAGGGAAGAACAAGUACCGUUCGAAUAGGGCGGUACCUUGACGGUACCUAACCAGAAAGCCACGGCUAACUACGUGCCAGCAGCCGCGGUAAUACGUAGGUGGCAAGCGUUGUCCGGAAUUAUUGGGCGUAAAGCGCGCGCAGGCGGUUUCUUAAGUCUGAUGUGAAAGCCCCCGGCUCAACCGGGGAGGGUCAUUGGAAACUGGGGAACUUGAGUGCAGAAGAGGAGAGUGGAAUUCCACGUGUAGCGGUGAAAUGCGUAGAGAUGUGGAGGAACACCAGUGGCGAAGGCGACUCUCUGGUCUGUAACUGA
rnacentral:rRNA from 2 species